rnacentral:rRNA from 1 species
GACGAACGCUGGCGGCGUGCUUAACACAUGCAAGUCGAACGGAAAGGCCCUGCUUUUGUGGGGUGCUCGAGUGGCGAACGGGUGAGUAACACGUGAGUAACCUGCCCUUGACUUUGGGAUAACUUCACGAAACUGGGGCUAAUACCGGAUAGGAGCUCCUGCUGCAUGGGGGGGGUUGGAAAGUUUCGGCGUUUGGGGAUGGACUCGCGGCUUAUCAGCUUGUUGGGGGGGUAGUGGCUUACCAAGGGUUUGACGGGUAGCCGGCCUGAGAGGGUGAACGGCCACAUGGGGACUGAGAUACGGACCAGACUCCUACGGGAGGCAGCAGUGGGGAAUAUUGCAGAAUGGGCGGAAGCCUGAUGCAGCGACGCCGCGUGCGGGAUGACGGGCUUCGGGUUGUAAACCGCUUUGGAAUGUGACGAAGCGUGAGUGACGGUAAUGGGUAAAGAAGCACCGGCUAACUACGUG